AUCUCUGCGCGUCACUCCCAGAAAGCGCCUACGUGAUCUGUCACUGCGUUUACGUGAAGUCGUGACAGCAUAGUCUCGCGUUAUGUGACUUGUGGCUUUGGUUGUUCUGUAAAACAGGAGGUAACGAGCGUGGAGUUAACAGCAUUGCGGGAGGUUAACACCAUGAGUUUGUUUUCCACCCCUGGGGGAUUUGGAACUGGGGGCGGCAGUAUGUUCGGCAGCACAGCGACUGAUAACCACAAUCCUAUGAAGGACAUUGAAGUGGCAUCACCUCCAGAUGACAGCAUCUCGUGCCUCUCUUUCAGCCCCCCAACCCUGCCGGGCAACUUCCUGAUUGCAGGAUCCUGGGCCAAUGAUGUGAGGUGCUGGGAAGUUCAAGAUAAUGGACAGACCAUUCCAAAAGCACAACAGAUGCACACAGGUCCUGUGCUUGACGUCUGCUGGAGUGAUGACGGGACCAAAGUGUUUACAGCCUCAUGUGAUAAAACUGCCAAAAUGUGGGAUCUUAACAGCAACCAGUCAAUACAAGUUGCACAGCAUGAAGCCCCUAUAAAGACUGUGCAUUGGGUAAAGGCUCCAAAUUAUAGUUGCAUCAUGACUGGUGGCUGGGAUAAAAGUUUAAAGUUUUGGGACACAAGAUCACCAAACCCACUGCUGACCCUACAACUCCCAGAACGAUGUUACUGUGCUGAUGUGGUGUACCCUAUGGCUGUUGUGGCCACUGCAGAGAGAGGGUUAAUAGUGUAUCAGCUUGAGAACCAGCCCUCGGAAUUCAGAAGAAUAGACUCUCCCCUCAAACAUCAGCACCGCUGUGUCGCCAUAUUUAAAGACAAGCAGAACAAGCCAACGGGCUUUGCACUUGGAAGUAUCGAAGGAAGAGUCGCAAUUCAUUACAUCAACCCUCCCAAUCCAGCCAAAGACAACUUCACAUUUAAAUGCCACCGCUCCAAUGGCACGAACACAACAGCCCCUCAAGAUAUCUAUGCUGUAAAUGGCAUCGCUUUCCAUCCUGUACACGGCACUUUGGCUACGGUCGGCUCAGAUGGACGAUUCAGUUUCUGGGACAAAGAUGCCCGGACCAAACUGAAGACUUCGGAGCAGCUGGACCAGCCAAUCUCUGCUUGUUCUUUCAACCACAAUGGAAAUAUUUUCGCCUAUUCUUCUAGCUAUGACUGGUCCAAGGAAAAUGUCACAGAAAAGUCAAGCACUUCUUGCUGUGCAAAGAACCCUUUAUUUUAGCCAGUUUUACCACUCCAAGUACAGAAUAACGUUUCGGGGGUGGUAAAACUGGCUAUAAUAAAGGAUUAUUUGCACAGCAAGAAGCUUUCCUUUUGCUGCAUGUGGACGUGGCCGUGCGUCUAAGGAAUAGCACCACCGUAUGCAACAACACCUGAAGAGUGUGAGUAGUGCUCCCCAUAUCUCUUUAUUUCUCUCUCUUUACAGGGGCAUGAAUUCUACAAUCCACAGAAGAAGAACUAUAUCUUCUUGCGUAACGCCGCUGAAGAAUUGAAACCCCGGAACAAGAAAUAGUGAUAAGCCCCCACCGUGGGGAAAGUAUAAGAUUUAUGAAUUUUCCUUACUGCUCAAGCACAGUGCUUACAACUGGUAUCAAUGUUGUCCCUCGCACUGACCACAUUCUCAUGCUGCCAUUCCUUUGGGUCGGAGCAGACUCGGAGAUUUUUGUUGAAACCGUGUACAGAACAAGGACAGUUUCUCUACAGCUUGCCCUGCAUUCACUGAUGUCACAAGAGACCCUAAUAUUGUCUUCUUUCUGGAUUCUCUGCAUCCGUCGUGAGCGUAUUGGAGCAGCAUGCUAAUAGAUCAACUUGCCUUAAACCAUAAACGGAUGUUAAUGUAUGAACUUUUUGAUGUCUUUUCGGGUUUUGUUUUAUAUUUCAAUAAAGUUCUUUUUAUGAAA